AAAACCUCCAAAUAUAUGUCAAUUUUCCUCCCUCCUGGACUUAGUUUAGUGAAUUGCUCUCAAAGAUUAGGAUAUGAAAAGGGAAAAACUAGUAAUUUCAUUUGGAGAGACUAAGUUAAAAGGUUUAAAUCACUACUCAUAAGUCACAUGACUCUCAUACACACCAUAAACCUGAUCAUGUGAAACUAUCAAACAAAUCCAAAUAGGUGUUUUAUAAAAUACUCUUGCUUUAUAGUUUACAGUAACAUAGCAGUGUUAAUGUUUUUGGUUUUGACAAAUAUAACACAGAUAUGAAAAAUGUUAACUUUGGAUGAGGGGUAUACAGAACUCUAUAUUCAUUUGCAACUAUUCUGUAAAUUAAAAUUAUUCUAAAACAAACGUAUUA